rnacentral:rRNA from 1 species
AUGGGCCCUCAAGAGCUGAGCGAAUUCUUGCAGCUCGUGGAUAGAACUCAGCACAUUCAACUACUGGACGAUGUUGAAGACAAACUGGUUUGGGCUUGGGAGAAUAAUGGCUGCUACUCGGCGAGAUCAGCUUGCCGAGCGCUCUUUGCUGGGAGAGUGGAGGCUAAUGGAGCAUCACAAAUUUUGCGGUCAAGGGCACCGGAGACCUGCAAGUUCUUCACAUGGUUGGUAGCAAGGGAGAGGUGCUGGACGGCCGUCAGGCUUGCGCGCCAACAUCUACCACACCCGACAGCCUACCCCUUCUGUGAUCAAGCCCCUAAGGCGAUCAACCGCAUCCUUCUUGGAUAUGUGUUAGCUAGACAAGUGUGGUUAUCCAUCCUUGACCAAUGGGGUAAGCUAGCUUGGCUACCUACUACAGACGCCAACUUGGUGGAAUGGUGGACCUCUAUAAAUCCACAAUCAAAGCUUAGGAAGGAGACAUGGACAGUAAUCGCGCUAGUUGCAUGGCUGAUAUGGAAGUAUAGGAACAAUGUGGUGUUCAACGGAAGGGUCCCUUCCACAAGUGAGCUUAUCAAGAGGAUUGGCUUACAAGGGCAAGACUGGAGGGAGGCAGGGCUGUUGCAUGAAGAGAGGUCGCUUUCGGAUAGUCUAGAUGGGUGGGCUAGUAGUGAGUAA